AAAACAAGAAGAAGAAGAAGAAGAAGAUUUGUUCAGGAUAAGAUAAAAAAAAAAACCAGACAGAAAUAGCGAUGUAGAGUUUGGUCGCUGUUUGUUGGUAAAAACAGCUCGUUAGUGAACUGCUGAACUACUGUUAGCACAGCUGAAAAAUUUAAUUAAGUAAGCGAAAUUCAGUUAGUUACUCCAGCGCAGUUCAGUGCCGCCCUUGACUAAAGGCGUGGAGAGUUUCUUAAGGUCUAAGAUAGUUUUGUGUAAAACUGGGCAGAUUAUUAGGAUGGUUAUGCUAGAUAGUGUCAACUGUGGCUUGUGAGUUAAAACAAGUGCAAGAAUGUCCAUGUUUAUUUCAUAAGUGACCACCACUGUACUCAUAGGCCUACUCAAUCUGUGAUGGAAAUGUUGAGGGGGCCAUAAACAUCAGUUCCUGCCGAUUGCUCUAGUCUAACCAGUUACCAGGAAAACUUUGACCCGUCUACAUUUAGUGUAAAAUCUGCUAACAGGGCCUGCUGCAGAGAAAUAUCCCAACAGCAUGACGCUGCCAGGACUGUGACAACCUCCUAAGAAGCUGUAAUUAAUAAGCAUCCAUGCAGCAGUUGUUGUACACACAGCUCACCAAUCUCAACCAUCUUCCAUGUUGUCAUU